rnacentral:tRNA from 1 species
GUUAUAGUUCAGUGGUAGAACACUUGCCUCACAUGCGUGAGGUACAGGGUUUGAUCCUCAGUACCACA